rnacentral:snRNA from 1 species
AUCCUAGUGCACGGGUUUUACACGUAUCAGUGAGGAGACAUCCGAGAUCGUGUUUUUGCUAGUUGAAAACUACCAAAUUGACUACUCCAAGUGAGCCUCCGCGCCCGCUUGGGAAUUUUUGAAACAAUACUGC